UGUUUCCUACGGGGCGCAGCAGUGGGGGAUAUUGCACAAUGGGGGGAACCCUGAUGCAGCGACGCCGCGUGGGCGAUGGAGUGCUUCGGCAUGUAAAGCCCUCUCAGCAGGGAAGAAAAUGACGGUACCUGACUAAGAAGCCCCGGCUAACUACGUGCCAGCAGCCGCGGUAAUACGUAGGGGGCAAGCGUUAUCCGGAUUUACUGGGUGUAAAGGGAGCGUAGACGGCAGCGCAAGUCUGAAGUGAAAUCCCAUGGCUUAACCAUGGAACUGCUUUGGAAACUGUGCAGCUCGAUUGCCG
rnacentral:rRNA from 1 species